GACGAACGCUGGCGGCGUGCUUAACACAUGCAAGUCGAACGGAAAGGCCUCUUCGGAGGUACUCGAGUGGCGAACGGGUGAGUAACACGUGGGUGAUCUGCCCUGCACUCUGGGAUAAGCCUGGGAAACUGGGUCUAAUACCGGAUAGGACCAUGCUUUAGUGUGUGUGGUGGAAAGUCUUUUCGGUGUAGGAUGAGCCCGCGGCCUAUCAGCUUGUUGGUGGGGUAAUGGCCUACCAAGGCGGCGACGGGUAGCCGGACUGAGAGGUUGGUCGGCCACAUUGGGACUGCGAUACGGCCCAGACUCCUACGGGAGGCAGCAGUGGGGAAUAUUGCACAAUGGGCGCAAGCAUGAUGCAGCGACGCCGCGUGGGGGAUGACGGCCUUCGGGUUGUAAACUCCUUUCGCCAGGGACGAAGCGUUUUGCGACGGUACCUGGAGAAGAAGCACCGGCUAACUACGUGCCAGCCGCCGCAGUAA
rnacentral:rRNA from 1 species